rnacentral:rRNA from 1 species
CGAACGCUGGCGGCAGGCCUAACACAUGCAAGUCGAACGAACUCUUCGGAGUUAGUGGCGGACGGGUGAGUAACACGUGGGAACGUGCCUUUAGGUUCGGAAUAACUCAGGGAAACUUGUGCUAAUACCGAAUGUGCCCUUCGGGGGAAAGAUUUAUCGCCUUUAGAGCGGCCCGCGUCUGAUUAGCUAGUUGGUGAGGUAAAGGCUCACCAAGGCGACGAUCAGUAGCUGGUCUGAGAGGAUGAUCAGCCACAUUGGGACUGAGACACGGCCCAAACUCCUACGGGAGGCAGCAGUGGGGAAUCUUGCGCAAUGGGCGAAAGCCUGACGCAGCCAUGCCGCGUGAAUGAUGAAGGUCUUAGGAUUGUAAAAUUCUUUCACCGGGGACGAUAAUGACGGUACCCGGAGAAGAAGCCCCGGCUAACUUCGUGCCAGCAGCCGCGGUAAUACGAAGGGGGCUAGCGUUGCUCGGAAUUACUGGGCGUAAAGGGAGCGUAGGCGGACAUUUAAGUCAGGGGUGAAAUCCCGGGGCUCAACCUCGGAAUUGCCUUUGAUACUGGGUGUCUUGAGUAUGAGAGAGGUGUGUGGAACUCCGAGUGUAGAGGUGAAAUUCGUAGAUAUUCGGAAGAACACCAGUGGCGAAGGCGACACACUGGCUCAUUACUGACGCUGAGGCUCGAAAGCGUGGGGAGCAAACAGGAUUAGAUACCCUGGUAGUCCACGCCGUAAACGAUGAUUGCUAGUUGUCGGGAUGCAUG